rnacentral:rRNA from 1 species
UACGGAGGGGGCGAGCGUUGUCCGCAGUUACUGGGCGUAAAGCGCGCGUAGGCGGGUUGGUAAGUCCGCUGUGAAAGCCCGGAGCUUAACUCCGGAGGGUCGGUGGAUACUGCCAGUCUUGAAGGUGCUAGGGGGAGAUGGAAUUACCGGUGUAGCGGUGAAAUGCGUAGAUAUCGGUAGGAACACCAGUGGCGAAGGCGGUCUCCUGGGGCAUUCUUGACGCUGAGGCGCGAAAGCUGGGGGAGCAAACGGG